CUCCAGGUGAUCCUGCCGGACCCGACUGCUAUCAGAGUGGGACUAAGCCAUACGAGUCAACAUAGCAAUAUGUGGCAUACGGCUCAGUAACACGUAGUCAACAUGCCCAGGGGACGCGGAUAACCUCGGGAAACUGAGGAUAAACCGCGAUAAGUCACUACUUCUGGAAUGGGUAAUGACUCAAAUCUACAUGGCCCCUGGAUUGGACUGCGGCCGAUCAGGCUGUUGGUGAGGUAAUGGCCCACCAAACCUGUAACCGGUACGGGCUCUGAGAGGAGGAGCCCGGAGAUGGGCACUGAGACAAGGGCCCAGGCCCUAUGGGGCGCAGCAGGCGCGAAACCUCUGCAAUAGGCGAAAGCCUGACAGGGUUACUCUGAGUGAUUUCCGUUAAGGAGAUCUUUUGGCACCUCUAAAAAUGGUGCAGAAUAAGGGGUGGGCAAGUCUGGUGUCAGCCGCCGCGGUAAUACCAGCACCCCGAGUGGUCGGGACGUUUAUUGGGCCUAAAGCAUCCGUAGCCGGUUCUACAAGUCUUCCGUUAAAUCCACCUGCUUAACAGAUGGGCUGCGGAAGAUACUAUAGAGCUAGGAGGCGGGAGAGGCAAGCGGUACUCGAUGGGUAGGGGUAAAAUCCGUUGAUCCAUUGAAGACCACCAGUGGCGAAGGCGGCUUGCCAGAACGCGCUCGACGGUGAGGGAUGAAAGCUGGGGGAGCAAACCGGAUUAGAUACCCGGGUAGUCCCAGCUGUAAACGAUGCAGACUCGGUGAUGAGUUGGCUUAUUGCUAACUCAGUGCCGCAGGGAAGCCGUUAAGUUUGCCGCCUGGGGAGUACGGUCGCAAGACUGAAACUUAAAGGAAUUGGCGGGGGAGCA
rnacentral:rRNA from 1 species